rnacentral:rRNA from 1 species
UUUUUAACGGAGAGUUUGAUUCUGGCUCAGAACGAACGCUGGCGGCGUGGAUAAGACAUGCAAGUCGAACGGGAUCACUUUUGGUAGCAAUACCGAGAGUGAUUCAGUGGCGAACGGGUGCUUAACACGUGGGCAAUCUGCC